rnacentral:rRNA from 1 species
AACAAACGCUGGCGGCGUGCCUAAUACAUGCAAGUCGAACGGGGAAAGUAGCAAUACGAGUACUAGUGGCGCACGGGUGAGGAAUACAUGGGUAAUCUGCCCUCGAGUUUGGGAUAACCAGUCGAAAGAUUGGCUAAUACCGGAUAUGACCACAGGAUCUGCGGAUCUAGGGGUAAAAGGUUUUUCGCUCGAGGAUGAGCCCAUGUGGGAUUAGCUAGUUGGUGAGGUAACGGCUCACCAAGGCGACGAUCCCUAACUGGUCUUAGAGGAUGAUCAGUCACACUGGAACUGAGACACGGCCCAGACUCCUACGGGAGGCAGCAGUAGGGAAUAUUUCACAAUGGAGGAAACUCUGAUGCGGCGACGCCGCGUGAGUGAUGAAGGCCUUCGGGUCGUAAAGCUCUGUCGUAUGGGACUAACACAAUGAAGGUACCAUGCAAGAAAGGAUCGGCUAACUUCGUGCCAGCCGCCGCCGUAA